rnacentral:misc_RNA from 1 species
AUUCCAGAUUGUCGGGGAAUUCGACGAAUGCGCGACCACGUAUAGCGAAGGAUAACAGGAAGCGAGCAUGAAACGGUCCAGACGUAAAACGGGAAUUAAGAACAUACAGAGAAACGAAUGCAACAGCAAAAAGAACAAGGAAAGAUGUAUAGGUACAUGGGAAACGAAGGAUGUGAGUAACGAGCGACUAAACGUGGCAGGAUGUAGCAGACGAUGUUCUCGAUCGAUUGUACUCUCAGUAGGAACUGGUUUUCAACGAGGAAAAGUGAAAACAUUUUCGGAUUAAGAACACGAGCAGUUUCACGUGUAAAAUACAGCAACGAAACAGGCUAAUAGACGACUGCUUAAAAACCUCUGAGCUGAGCGUUUAAUACGGCGAAGUUACCAUCGUAAAACAAUUAUUAAAUGAC